CACCGCCGCCGCUCAGCCUCUGCUCCGCCGCCGCCGCCGCCAUGGCGGCCGGGCCGGACCGGGGCCGCUCCCGGCGCUCGCUCCCCUCGUUUGAAUCGCAACGGGCGGCGUCUCCCGCUCCGGGACCGGCUCCCGCAGAGCCCCGCUUGUCCCGGCGGCGGGGCUGCCUGCGGGCUGAGCGCCCGGCCGCCCCCCGGAUUUUCCCUUCUGCCCCUCCGGAGCGGCAGGAACGCGGGCUGCGGCCAUGGCGACGGGCGCUGAGCGAUGGUUGCGGGCUGGGGGUGCUGGUGUCCGGCUCUGGCACCGUGCCCUUCCCUUAGCACUGAGGCGUUUUCGCCUUCGGGAGAAGCCCACGGGUGGAAAUCGGCGUUGGCUGAGCUCAGAGCUGCAAAGUUAUUGCAGGGCUAAGAGCUGCAGUAGCUCUAAGGAGGCAGAAGACAAGGAAGGGGGAAGGAACAGGAGGAAUCCCUCCAGAGCCAGCAGGUAAAUCCGAGGUGUUGGGAUGGCAGAGAUCUGGCAUUCGAGUCUGGCUGUAUCUCCUUCAAAAACCUUUUUGCUUUGUGGCUUAAAGAUGAAAGUUGGAGGCGUGUGAUGUUCUUUUG